CUUGGAGCCAUCACAAAGUCUCACCCGUUUUCACCAAGCGCUAGGGUUUGCACAGCCGCCGCCGUUCAACGACUGCCGUUUUCUUUCUGAGAGUGCUGCUUGCAAUCAAACAAGAGAAUACGUUGGGGAGUUUCUGAAGAGAUGUGAGAAGUUCAAGCUUUCAAAAACUACGUUGCUAAAUAUCAUUAACUUGAGGUCAUCCAGCCAACCUCUGAUUUACUCGCUGCAGUAUUGAAGAAAAAACUUUCUUCUUUGGGAUCAUCAUGGAUCUUGGUUGACCAUCAGCUUCAAGCACAGCUGCAAGAGAAUCAAUUGAAGGGGUGGGUUGUCGGUUCAUAAUCUUUACUAUCAAUCUUUAUUGAGUAUUUAUGGCAAGGAUGUUCUAAAUUUUUGUGGAUGAAAUAGCAUAAUAACAUAUAUGUAGUUGCUUUGCCUUUGUA